GGGUACUCGAGUGGCGAACGGGUGAGUAACACGUGGGUGAUCUGCCCUGCACUUCGGGAUAAGCCUGGGAAACUGGGUCUAAUACCGGAUAGGAGCCAUUUUUAGUGUGAUGGUUGGAAAGUUUUUUCGGUGUAGGAUGAGCUCGCGGCCUAUCAGCUUGUUGGUGGGGUAAUGGCCUACCAAGGCGGCGACGGGUAGCCGGCCUGAGAGGGUGGACGGCCACAUUGGGACUGAGAUACGGCCCAGACUCCUACGGGAGGCAGCAGUGGGGAAUAUUGCACAAUGGGCGCAAGCCUGAUGCAGCGACGCCGCGUGGGGGAUGACGGCCUUCGGGUUGUAAACUCCUUUCGCUAGGGACGAAGCUUUUUGUGACGGUACCUAGAUAAGAAGCACCGGCUAACUACGUGCCAGCAGCCGCGGUAAUACGUAGGGUGCGAGCGUUGUCCGGAAUUACUGGGCGUAAAGGGCUCGUAGGUGGUUUGUCGCGUCGUCUGUGAAAUUCCGGGGCUUAACUCCGGGCGUGCAGGCGAUACGGGCAUAACUUGAGUACUGUAGGGGUAACUGGAAUUCCUGGUGUAGCGGUGAAAUGCGCAGAUAUCAGGAGGAACACCGAUGGCGAAGGCAGGUUACUGGGCAG
rnacentral:rRNA from 1 species